CCAUGCUGAGAGUGUCUAUUGUCACUCAGGACCUGGACUUUAACUUGCUCCUCUCUUCCAUUCCUCCUAUCACUUAGUUUAUAACUUCAGCCUUUGUCAUGCUUCAGUUCAUGCAGAUUCCACAGAAGUCCUUUCUUUACCUUCUUGCUUUUCAUAUUCCCUCCUCCAUAGCAUCCACGCUAAGUGCAAUCACUGUAGGCAGUGCAGGAAACACAGAAGAGAAUGGAGCUGAGUAAACGAGGAGGAGGACAUGGAGGGGUGAGAUAUGGGGUGGGGGAUGCUGGAAAGUGUUCAAGGGGAAAUGCUUGCAUGACUCACAUAAUUGAAGAGAAAACAAGGCAUAUGAGCAACAUAAACCCUCCACUGGAAAAGAAGAUGGGAAAAGCCUUUAAAUCAUAAUGAAAACUCAAUUCAAACAAGCAGUAAAAGGUAACAAAGAACUAGCAAUGACUCGUCAAGUAAGAUAUAUCGUUUGCUCUAAGUUCUACCAGACACAAGAUAAACCCACUGUCCAGAAACGACCAGCAUAAGAGAGUUCCGUGACCUGUAUAAAACACCUAGGACAAGAAACAGGUAGCAGAAGCCUGGCCUCCAUCAGCUGUAUCCACCUGCUUAUUGCUCCAGGUUGCCUCUACAGUAGUUCCUUGUCUACUGCAGCCUUCAGGGUGACAUGACAACAUUAUAACCGAGGCCCAGAUCUGGGAAAUAUAAUGAAGGCAAAAAAGCACAUUAGAUACCAAAGUACUAGGUAUUAUUAUUUUUAGAAAUCAUCUUACGAACAUCCUAUGGCUUGUUUUGUACUUUUUGGCUACCGUUGCCUAGCGUCCAGGAAAAGUCAAGUCCUUUUUCGGUUCUUUGGAACAUUUUCCCCAUGUUUCUUGUCAUUAAAGAAAAUAAACAUUAGACAAAAGCAGACUUUAUUGUAACUAUAAAUAAUUCAAUGCAGAUGGAUUCAUGGAAAAAUACCAGCAGGCAGAUUUUCAGAGAGAAAAAAAGAGGAAUGCUCUAAGGUCAGAUGGUGAGGAAAACGGAAAGGGUGAAGAGUCAAGAAACCACAAGUUGUCUUGAAAAGAAUAGAUACAAACAAGAAAGCAACAAGUGACAUGUAAAUGAAAAUAAAGGUAACUCGGAAAGGCAACAGAAUGUUUCAAAAGAUUGAAUUUUUUAGUUAUAAGCAUGGCUGUUUCCAAAUGCCAUGGAAAAGAAGUCAUCUACUGCCAGUCUAGGAAGAGAUCUUUUUCAUAGUAUCCCAUAGUGAUUUGUUAUCUUUCUCAUCUCACCCCUUUAGGAAACAAUUGGCUGUUACUUACAAUGCCAAGACGAUUACUGAACAACAGAUUCUCGCACCUAAUACUUGCUUCAUCUGACAACCCGGACUCAGGUGGUUUUCCAGCCCAGAAGCAAUUCAUCUCGACCUGGCUAAGCUCUCUGGUGUGCAUCACACCCAAUAUGCUGCAAUGCUCUGCCACUGCUCUGCAAAUGAGUAGCAUCUCCCUCAGCCUGGUAAGCACAGUGAGACUUUGGGAUAGGGAGUGAAAACAGAGCAAAAGGCUGGAGUUUGUUAUUAGUUCUUCCCAAGCAAAUUAACUGGGAGCAGCUUUUCAACAUACUUCCUGUGCAUAUUUUCUAUACAAAGAGAGCUUCUCUUGUUUGUUUCUCUCUUCCUCUGGACAGUCCCUUGUGAUGAUUUUCACAGCUCUUAUGGAAGCAGCUCAUUGUUCUGCAGCAACUUAAUUAAAGUGUACUUCCAUGCAAAAUUAGGCUAUUGUAUUUAUUUAAACUUUAUGGUAAUCGCUGUACAAGGGCUGUGUCUGCAUCCGACACCACACACCCACGUCUCUCC
ensembl:lncRNA